AAAAGUAUAAGUUUAAAAUAUAUGCUAGCUCAAGUGACCAUCCUCAAUAAGAAGUAUAGAAGAAGUACUUAGAUUUAUAAGAAGGCCGAGCCCACCGGCACUUAACACCAUCAACAGCAGUACAAAAUUAAAACCUGAAAAACAACAGGGAAAAAAACCCUGAGUAUGGAAUUACUCAGCAAGUCUUACUCGACUAAAGAAAAGACUCUCAAGGGUAUGCUGGAUUUGGGAAUCAAGGAGAGGCUUUAGCAAAAAUCAACUUAGAUACUUUUGCAGAAAUAGCUUAUUAAAGUGAGUCCUUACUUUCAAUAUUUUAACGCCAAAUUAAAUAUUAAUAGACUCUGUUUGCAUAUGGUCUACUUUCACCAUCUCAUCAAUACAACAUCAUUUUUAUUCAUGAGAUUCACAUCCUGACUUAGGUUGCAGGUCACUGAUCAAGUCUCCACUCUCCGGGGAUAUAACGGCGAUCCGAAUCGAUUUACUCAGCUGAGGAUCUCUAACCACACGACAUAUGUAGCACUUAACCCUAGCAUAUUUCAACCGUUCCCACAGAUCCUCUACAACGUGAACCGGUCCGCGCUACCCGGGAGCACAGUACUCCUCCAUCCAGCCUCUAGCCAGGAGGGUACACGCUACUCCCACCAUCUCCCACGCCAAGUACGCGGUUGUCUUUUCACGUAUGGAAUAGCCGGGUUCAAGCUUACCCUGUCCCAUUUCCAGGGCAUGUGGCCAGUUAAGAUAGUCCUUGAUCUAUCAGGCCUACAUACGCAUCCAAUCCUUAAUUGACCCGGACGGAGCAUCACCUGUUCCUAGCCCAAGUCCCGAUUUAAGUACUUCCACCCUUAGGAUUGUUUGUAUUCCUUAGGAUGAAAAGAGAAUCAAAGGAAACUUUGCAGUAAGAUCCUACCACGCUCUCAAUGAAAAUAUUCUUACAGGUAGAAGCCAUCUUUCCUCAGGAUAACCCCUGAGCUAGGCCUUAAUGCAAAAGACAACCCCUAUCCACAAGAUCUGAGCAGGGCUAAGCAUUUUUGUAAAUCAUGUUUUGAUACUUCACCAGAAGUAUCUAUAAAGGUAUGGAUAUCAAGGAAGGCAAUGCAUCAAAAAGGUUCCAAGCAACUCCUAUAAACCGAAUGCACAUUUCACUAGACUUAAAGUGUGCAGAAAUUAUUUAAAAACACAAGGAAGGGGUUGCAUGCACCGGGGCUUGCCUGGAAUAAACACUAUGUUAGUGUUUGUUAGAUGACGUCCGCUUGACGAGUAUCCCCCGACCGAACAUUCGCUUGAUUUAACUAUCCUCAGGUUGGUCCAUCAGCUUCACCAUGCGGAGUAGUCCACGCUUGGGGUCGACUUGACUCAAGUUCUCCGCAUCUCAUGGUUAAUCAACGUACCUAAAUGAUUUGCAUAAUGCACAUGAAUGCAUAUAAACAAGAAUAUCACAAACCUAAAUAAGGCUACACGACGGUGAAAUAAACACCUAGCGGCGAGGCGUUGUACUAUUUCCUACGGAAACACUAGUUAUCGACAUACGACUACGCUCAAUUAUCAUACUUUUCUAGUGUAAUCGUAUCUACUUCAAAUAUCAAAGCGAUAAUAAACUAAACACAAGUCCUAUAUCAAAACACCCAUCGAGUCACUAACACUUUACUUCUGGCCCCUUCUAUGUUUCUUGCCUUUACAAAUUGAGUCCCCGACGUCGCCGGCAGCGCGAACGCGUUCCCCCCGCGAUCCUACGGCGGAGGAGAGCCCGAGCAGUCAUCGGACAACGGCCAGAUCAAAUCUUAACAUAAUCCAAACAAUUACGGGCAUGGAUUUGGCUCACAAAUUCCCAGAGCGACUUGACCGCGCCCACGACGGAAUCCAAGUUCGUGGUAUAUGCCGGGCCAAUUUGAGUGUCGGACACAUCAAAUUAAGGGCACGGGGAGUACGAGCAAGACACGGUCGACGCGAUGCUUACGAUCGACAUCGAACCGACAGAGUUUUGGUGGGUUGACAUCAGAGCAGUUCAUGCGGCAUUAAACCCGCGUUCCGAUCAAACUAGGAUUGUAAAUAUCAACCGGACUUUUUGGUGAGCUUCACCAAUCUAUAGGGACGCUAGAACAUGAAGUCUUAAGGAUUGAGCCAUACCGUAGAUGCCCAGCCACAUGAGGUCGAGGUGUUGGCGAGGGGAUCAUCAGCCACGCUCAAUAUCUUGAUCAAUGAAACUGGGCGCGACCAGGGUAUAAUUUGGGGGAAGGGAGAGCAACCCUGUUAGCUGAAGUUAUAUCCUGUGGUUGAUGGUCGAGGCAAGGAUCACGGCUUGCUCCUGCUUUCCUUUCCCCCCCCCCGGUUGCUCUUAUAUAGCCAAGGAAAAGAUCAAGGGACUGGAUUCUUGAGUUUACAGGGGGGGAUAACUAUAUGCAUGGGGUGCAGUCGUGGCUUACCCAAGGAAGCCCACGCCGGUGCUGCAGGGU
rnacentral:lncRNA from 1 species